AUACGGAGGAUCCGAGCGUUAUCCGGAUUUAGUGGGUUUAAAGGGUGCGCAGGCGGCCAUUUAAGUCAGCGGUUAAAUCGUGGGGCUCAACCCCAUUCUGCCGUUGAUACUGGGUGGCUUGAUUGCGGUCGAGGUUGGCGGAAUUCGUUGUGUAGCGGUGAAAUGCAUAGAUAUGACGAAGAACACCGAUUGCGUAGGCAGCUGACCAGACCGCAAAUGACGCUCAUGCACGAAAGUGCGGGGAUCGAACAGGAUUAGAUACCCUGGUAGUCCGCACAGUAAACGAUGAAUACUUGUUUUCGGCGAUAUAAUGUCGGAGGCAAAGCGAAAGCGAUAAGUAUUCCACCUGGGGAGUACGCCGGCAACGGUGAAACUCAAAUGAAUUGACGGGG
rnacentral:rRNA from 1 species